AAUGAAGAUUACAGUAGUGAUUUUUUGCUUGGUUGGGGCGGUUUAUGCCAACCCAGUAAGUACCCUUGUUUUUUUAUUGAACAAUCUUAAUUUAUUCACAAUAAAAUGUAAAUGAUGAGUUGAUAUAGAUUUAACACAUCAGACUUUUGUAUUAUUUUGUGUUCUCCUACUGUAUUUGUUUCUUUUGACAGAUUCUGUACAAAGCUAUUUUGGAACAGAGCGAACUGGAAUCAUCAAACAUGACUCAAACGCAAAGGUUAAGUUCAUCCGCCUCACAAUCUCCGCAUCAAAGUGACACUUCAGAGCUCAAGAGCUCUGAAGAAAGUACCUCAGAGGACCAAAGUUCAGAGUCUGAGUCCGAAUCAUUGGAAUCCAAUUCAGAGUCUUCCGAGAGCCAUUCUUUAGAGAGUGAGAGCCAAUCACUGGAGGACAGGGUAAAGAUCCUCAGAUUUACAUCAUUUCACAGAUUGCAUAUCAAAACAAUAAAAUGAGAAAGAUGCAAUCA
rnacentral:lncRNA from 13 species